rnacentral:rRNA from 1 species
UACGUAGGGGGCAAGCGUUGUCCGGAAUCAUUGGGCGUAAAGAGCGUGUAGGCGGCCCGGUAAGUCCGCUGUGAAAGUCGGGGGCUCAACCCUCGAACGCCGGUGGAUACUGUCGGGCUAGAGUGCGGAAGAGGCGAGUGGAAUUCCUGGUGUAGCGGUGAAAUGCGCAGAUAUCAGGAGGAACACCGAUUGCGAAGGCAGCUCGCUGGGACGUAACUGACGCUGGAGACGCGAAAGCGUGGGGAGCGAACGGG